AUUGAACGCUGGCGGCAGGCCUAACACAUGUAAGUCGAACGGUAGCACAGAGAGCUUGCUCUCGGGUGACGAGUGGCGGACGGGUGAGUAAUGUCUGGGAAACUGCCCGAUGGAGGGGGAUAACUACUGGAAACGGUAGCUAAUACCGCAUAACGUCGCAAGACCAAAGUGGGGGACCUUCGGGCCUCACACCAUCGGAUGUGCCCAGAUGGGAUUAGCUAGUAGGUGGGGUAAUGGCUCACCUAGGCGACGAUCCCUAGCUGGUCUGAGAGGAGGACCAGCCACACUGGAACUGAGACACGGUCCAGACUCCUACGGGAGGCAGCAGUGGGGAAUAUUGCACAAUGGGCGCAAGCCUGAUGCAGCCAUGCCGCGUGUAUGAAGAAGGCCUUCGGGUUGUAAAGUACUUUCAGCGGGGAGGAAGGCGGUGAAGUUAAUAACUUCACCGAUUGACGUUACCCGCAGAAGAAGCACCGGCUAACUCCGUGCCAGCAGCCGCAGUAA
rnacentral:rRNA from 1 species